rnacentral:rRNA from 1 species
CUGAUCCAGCCAUGCUGCGUGUGUGAAGACGUCCUUUUGGUUGUAAAGCACUUUAAGAGAGGAGGAGGCUAGUGAGAUUAAUACUCUUGGAUAGUGGACGUUACUCGCAGAAUAAGCACCGGCUAACUCUGUGCCAGCAGCCGCGGUAAUACAGAGGGUGCGAGCGUUAAUCGGAUUUACUGGGCGUAAAGCGUGCGUAGGCGGCUUUUUAAGUCGGAUGUGAAAUCCCUGAGCUUAACUUAGGAAUUGCAUUCGAUACUGGGAAGCUAGAGUAUGGGAGAGGAUGGUAGAAUUCCAGGUGUAGCGGUGAAAUGCGUAGAGAUCUGGAGGAAUACCGAUGGCGAAGGCAGCCAUCUGGCCUAAUACUGACGCUGAGGUACGAAAGCAUGGGGAGCAAACAGGAUUAGAUACCCUGGUAGUCCAUGCCGUAAACGAUGUCUACUAGCCGUUGGGGCCUUUGAGGCUUUAGUGGCGCAGCUAACGCGAUAAGUAGACCGCCUGGGGAGUAC